AAAAAAACUUAAUUAUAAUUUUAAAUAAAAUUCCCAAAUCAGUUUAUCAACCUAAUCAAUCCCCUCCUCACACGCCGACAUUGUUGUCUCCGCCUCUCCGUCUCUCUAUUUUUCUCGAUGGCGACAAAGAGUGAAGCUCUUCCCUGACGACUGCUCUUCUUCUCUGGCGUAACUAGUGCUCUUCUUCUUCGGCGUAAGCUCUCCCUCUCACGGUGUGUGCUCCGGCGUAAGCUCUCCCUCUCACGACGGCGUAAAGCGGUAAAGAUGGUAGUUCUGUCUUUGAUGCAUCACAUUUGUAUGGCCAGCAAAUACUGGAUUCCAAUGACACAAGGUGGAUAUCUCAGCCUUUUUCUACUCCAGAUCUUAUUGAGCAAAGAAACCUGCACAGAGCAAUAUCAUAUCCUGAACCGCAGCAUCACCAGCGGCCACACCAGCAUCAGCAACAAUUUUCCAGCCAACCAAUUAUUCUACCAAAGUCAUCUGGUGGAGACCGCAAGAUCAGCAUGUAGGACAACCAAAUACGCAAUAUGGUGGGCUUCAUAUGGGAUCCCCAAAUCUCUCCCCUUUGCGUUGUGUCUUAUCUUUCAAUGUUUAGUGGUUUGUAUAAGCACUCUUUGUAUAAACAUUGUUUCUACUCUCUGCUAUGUUCCUUGCUUUGAA